UGACUUUUUCCAUUUGAAUUCUCAUUCUAUCCGGUUAAUUUGUAGUUUAAAACACAUCAAACACCGAAGAAUGGUUGCGGCCCUUAAAUUCCCAAAACUGAAUAUAUUCAUGCUUUCAAACACAGUUUCAACUUUCAUAUUUUGAAAUCUGAUUUCAUAUCCUCCUCUGUUUCUCUCCAAACUUCUUUAACGUAGUUGUCAACCUUCUUGUGAUGAUGAUUCCAUGGAUAUGGAUAAUGGAUCUAGAUCUAGAUCGAGAUACAAAGUAAAAUUCAAUUACCAUGUUUAUUUCCCAAAUUUUUGUUAUUGCAGGGUCUAUAGUAUGGGAUGCCACAAAAAGCAACAUACCGGAAAACCCCACCAUUUAUCCUUUAUUUCGUAGCUCUAACUUCAGUUGGCUGGUGAUGUUGUUGAAGUAAGAGGCCUUGAUGUACCAUUCCACCCAUGAAGCGAGGAACUCAAUAUAGUGAUCCAUACCAGUUUUACUGAUCCACUGUCUGAAGAAGUAAAACAUAUUUGGAAUUGAGGUUUCUAACUAUUGAUUGUGCUUUUUCUAAUUGUUUUUUUAAUUGAUGCACACAACACAUUUCAAUACGAGUUUGGUUCUUACCUUUAAAGUUCUUGUGUUUUUUAAAGGCAUUUAUAGGAACGCCAAGUGCUCAAUGAAAUUACUCAAUGGGCAUCUAACUUGGAAGAAGCAAAAAAUAUGUUAUUUUUUUUACUAAAAUGCUUUGUGUUUUCAGUUGAAAGGGCAUUUUGAAUUGUUUACUAUGUAUAUUUACAAAAUAAAUAAAUAAAUAAAAUAAUUUAAAUUAAAUUAAAUCUAAGCAUUUAUUAUUUGACCAUUUUCGAUCUGCUCCAUUUUGACUUUUAAGAUAACUCAUAUUCCAUGAUUUAUGAAUUAAGAUCCAAUAUCGUAUCUCCAAUGUGGCUGAAUAUGCAUUAUGUUGUUUAUUUCUUAUUCUUUUGUUAAUGAUAUGACGUUUUUGCUCUUAAUGGAUGACAUUGUUGUAUCAAUUGUUGUUGUUAAAAGAAUCGGUCGAAGUCGAGAAGGUUGCGGUCUUCCCAAGCUAUCGUAGAUGAUGAAGUCAGUGUGACUACUAUUGCUAUUGGAACUUUUGGCUUCCUGGCACCAUGUUUCUUUCUUUCUAUACUUAGAGUAAGAUGUUAUAAUAAAAAAAUAUGAUGUUGUUAACACUUUUGAGUUGUUGAAUAUAUGAAAUUGAGUGAUUGCAAAGCAUCAUUAACAAUGUGAUAUCGUGUGUAUAGCUUUGGGGUUUUGUUGUUAAAUGUGUAAUGGGAAAGAG